AUAAUUAAGGGCCAGAUCCAAAGUCCACCGAAGCCCACAGGAGUCUUUCCAUUGUCUUCAAUGGACUUUGGAUCAGACCCUAAAAAU
rnacentral:pre_miRNA from 1 species